rnacentral:lncRNA from 1 species
GGAGGUUUGGGAGGUCUUCUCUGCUCUUGAGCAGCAUUGAGGGAGCAUGUCAGCCUGCACCAGUUGUCCUCAGGGAUGCUGAAUUAACCCUGCGUCUGAUCACGAAGAGCAAGUGGCUGAAAGAGCCAUGGGGAUCUCGAGGGCAAGCGGCGUGAAGGUGUCGGUGAAGACAAAGAACAGCGUCAGCCGGAAACGCAAGAGUGAGUCGGAGAAGGGACAGGAUGUGCCGAAGAUGCCCAGAGGAAAGGCCGUGAAGAAGGAGCAGGAGGAAACUCUGGGCAUGGAUCAGGAGCAGCCCGAACCCAUCCUCUGCCGAGGGCCAGCUCCGGAGCAGGAGGGCACCUCAAGGUCAGAGCGCAAGCCCCGGAGAGCAGGAACUGUGGCAGGAAGGAGGAUCCGGGCACCUGAGAUCAGAGUUGGGAAGGUGUCGAGGCAGCGGGAGAUGGGACGGGACGGCGUUAACGAUGAGGCAGCAUCCAUCUGCGGAGAGCCGGAGGACUUGGGGGAGGCCGUUGCGGGCGAAGCGGGUCUGGACACGGAGGAGAGGAGAGCAGGGCUGGGUGCCCGAGACCUGAAGAGGAAACGGGGAGGAAAUGGAGACAAGAAGCAAGAGAGAAGGAAGCGGCGAGAGAUGAGAAAAGACACCAAUGAGGAGGAUGAGUUGGAGGAAGGGGACCUGGGGACACGAGGAGAGGAGCAGGGUGCUGGUGAGGGAAGGAACGGGAGAACGGAGCAGGGAAAAGCCGGGAGGGCAACCAGGAGCGUCAGCCCCAUCCCGGGAAGGAGCGAUGGGGAAAGGACUGGGAGAGGGGACGAGGAGAAAGGGGAUGAGGACAGAUGGGGGGAGCGGGACGGGGCUGGAAAUGGGGAACAGGCAGGGCCGAGCCGGGGGAAGAAAAGGCCGGAGAAGGUGAAGGCGAAGAAGAGCAAAAAGGCGAAAUCAGAGCGGGGGAAGAGCGAGGAGCGGGAGGAAAAGUCAGGAAGGAAAAAAAUUAAAAAGGAAAAAAUUUCAGAAGCGGAGCGAGAAGUAGAAAGGGCAGAAGAGGAACAGGCGGAACAAGUGGGAGGUGGACCAGAAGGGAGUGAGAGGAGAGCUGGGAGAGGGAAGGAAAGCGAAGAUGAAAAGAGAGUCAAGCAGGAGGAGGAGGAUGAGCAAGGGGAUGAAGGACAGGGAACAAUCAUGGAGCUUGGGCAAGAGAUGAAGGAGGAGGGCGAUGUGGAGACAAGAGAAGUGCUGCAGAAGGACAAAAAGCAGAGAGCCAAGGAGAAAAAGCCAAAGGAGGAAACAAAAGAGAAGGGGAAGAAGAGCAAGGAGGUGAAGACCCCGGAGAAAACCCGGAAAAGGAAAUCCAAGGAAGAGGGAGAAGAGAAGAACAGCAAGAAACCUAAAAAGGAGGAAAAAGAGAAAGAAAAAAAGAAAGAAGAGACAGAAAACAAAUGGAAAUGGUAAGUGUCCUGCAUGCUGCAGCUUUUGGCCUCUGGGCAGGUUUAACUCCA